rnacentral:lncRNA from 1 species
AUAAACAGCAGCUUCUUUGCAACCUAAAUAGCGGCUUUAAUGUUUUAUUCCCUGCUUUUGCAACUCCAAUAUUGUAUUUCAUACGUUAUUCACUAUGCUUAUUGACUGUUUUUUCUUUCUUUUCCCUUCCUUCCUUCCACUUGCUAUUUCCCUAUUGCAUCUUUGUUUGUUUCUGCAGCUACCGGUAUGUCGAAAGUCCAUAUUUUCUAUGUUAGGU